UUUUCUUACAGUAGAACUAGUGAUGUUUAGAGUUCCCCAUAUCUCAUUGCAAACAAGAUGAUAGGGUUUGAUGGUAUGAUCAAACAGAUGAAUGAUACUGUCAACAUUUUGAUGUAAUUGAUUAAAAACCUUACUAAUUAUCAUUAAACUUGCUUUCAAUGCUCUUUUGUAAAGAUCAUUCUGACAGUAGCUAAAAGUUCCAGAUGAUGCAAAAACAAUUCCAAGAUAUUUAUACCUAUUCACAUAGUACUUUUCAUUAGAUAGCUUUCCACUUUUACUUAAACUCAUAAUAUUCUUCUUCUUUAUUAUUACAGGCCUUUUCCGCCCUAUGCCACGGGUCCGAAUAUCGGCCCCAUUCCCAAUGCAAAUCUGGUUGUUUUUUCCCAAAUUGAAAAAAACUAAAUUCCCAAUGCCAACUUCCAACGAUUGCAAAGUUGAUUUUUUUUUCGGCCGCUAAAAGUGCGCAAAAUAAUGUUACCUUAAUCCGCAAACUAACCAUUGGGAAAAACCCGCUUGUUUUGAACCCGGCUUUGUAUAGAUCAAUACUGCGCGAACUGUGAAGGUACUCCUUAAUCAUCAAAAUGGCUUUUCACAACAAAUAUUAUGUUGCCAAAAUAAGGUAAAAAAUAUUCGAAAAAUUCGCCAUCAAUUUUGUUCCUUUUCAACUAGCAAAAAGAAAAACAAACAACAUCGGGUGAGGUAACUAUAAGAAUGCACCGAAAUAUUUCUAGUAAUAAACGAAGAUCGUUAUAAAUGAUUUUCGAAAUUGAACAACAAGAUGCGACAUAAGAUCUGUUUUUUUGAUAUCUGAAAUUGAUUAUAGAUUGAUUCAUUUGUGGUUAAGAAAUUUUAAAUACUGACACUGUGUUUGUUUAUAUUUUAUUAACAUAGGCAUGAUUUGAAAAAGCAUUAUAUUUAAUCGUGUGUUUGUUUCAAGAGUAAAUUUAUCUAACUGUUCAUGGUACAUUCUCAUCUUACACAUUUCAAUUUCUUUUGUUAUAUAUGUACAUACAUGUAUCUAAGUACAUAAUCUUAAUAUAUAAGGAUGCAUACUUAAUAUUUAUUUUUGGCAUAGAAUUAACUAUAUUACCUAUUGUACUUAGCUUAAGAAUUAAAUUAAAAUCUGAAAACUGUCACUCAAUUUCUGAGUGAACAGCAUUGGCUAGAUAAAGUUAUCAAGAAAUGGACAGAAGUUAAGGUAUAUAAACUAAUCAAAUAUCAUAACUUGUACCACAAUAUGAUAAAAAAAAUCACAAUAUCAGUCACAUAAAGAUUUUAAAAAUGAAAGCCGGAAUGGAAGCAAAUGAUAAAAUUCGAUUUUUGAAUUAUAAAUAAAACAAUUAUAUCAUUAAACUUAUUGAAAUUGCACGUAAUAAUCGUUGUCAGUUAUUGUUUGUUUGAAGUUUUCUAUUUAAGAUAAUAGCCAUUCUCCCUGCGGAGUUACUGGUUGGGAUAGACGGUUGAGUCGACAAAUUCCAGUUAUGUUCAUGAAGAUCUGCCGAACAGCUCAUGUAAGGCCAAGUCAUAAGAGCCAGUGAAGAAAAAAAGAUAAUUUGGGAUCUACUGUCAUCGUAAACAGAACAAUGCCGUCCGUCCGGAUUUUGGUUGUCCUCAUGGUUAUGUGCACCAUUAUGUAGACUGUCAUACAUCAGCAUACAUGGAAACUGGCGAAUAGAGGUCAGUGUUCCUGUCGAUAUCAGUGUAGGGACGGGGAAUGCCUGGCGGCAAUUCAUGAAUUAUGUCUUAGGCGUCCGAGUAUUAAUCACCAGGAUUAUCCCAGAUGGAUGUGCUGUAAUCGUUUGAAGUAUCCUUGUCCAAUAGUGUAAGAUUUUGUAUGUCCGUUUGUGUCUUAAACUAACGAUGUGAUUAACUACUCAUCUGUUUUUUUCUCUCUACGUAUUGAUAUA